rnacentral:rRNA from 1 species
AGCAUUAUACCGUGAAACUGCGAAUGGCUCAUUAAAUCAGUUAUCGUUUAUUUGAUAGUACCUUACUACUUGGAUAACCGUGGUAAUUCUAGAGCUAAUACAUGCUGAAAACCCCGACUUCGGAAGGGGUGUAUUUAUUAGAUAAAAAACCAAUGCCCUUCGGGGCUCCUUGGUGAUUCAUAAUAACUUCUCAGAUCGCAUGGCCUUGCGCCGGCGACGGUUCAUUCAAAUUUCUGCCCUAUCAACUUUCGAUGGUAAGGUAUUGGCUUACCAUGGUUUCAACGGGUAACGGGGAAUUAGGGUUCGAUUCCGGAGAGGGAGCCUGAGAAACGGCUACCACAUCCAAGGAAGGCAGCAGGCGCGCAAAUUACCCAAUCGCAAUUCAUAGCGGAGGUAGCGACAAGAAAUACUGAUACAGGGCUCUUUUGGGUCUUGUAAUUGGAAUGAGUACAAUUUAAACCUCUUAACGAGGAACAAUUGGAGGGCAAGUCUGGUGCCAGCAGCCGCGGUAAUUCCAGCUCCAAUAGCGUAUAUUAAAGUUGUUGCAGUUAAAAAGCUCGUAGUUGAACUUUUGGCCUGGCUGGCAGGUCCGCCUCACCGCGUGCACUUGUCCGGCCGGGCCUUUUCUUCUGGAGAACCGCAUGCCCUUCACUGGGUGUGUUGGGGACCAGGACUUUUACUUUGAAAAAAUUAGAGUGUUCAAAGCAGGCCUUUGCUCGAAUACGUUAGCAUGGAAUAAUAGAAUAGGACGUGCGGUCCUAUUUUGUUGGUUUCUAGGACCGCCGUAAUGAUUAAUAGGGACAGUCGGGGGCAUUAGUAUUCAGUAGUCAGAGGUGAAAUUCUUGGAUUUACUGAAGACUAACUACUGCGAAAGCAUUUGCCAAGGAUGUUUUCAUUAAUCAGUGAACGAAAGUUAGGGGAUCGAAGACGAUCAGAUACCGUCGUAGUCUUAACCAUAAACUAUGCCGACUAGGGAUCGGGCGGUGUUAUUAUUUUGACUCGCUCGGCACCUUACGAGAAAUCAAAGUGUU